rnacentral:lncRNA from 1 species
CUUUGAUAGGAAUCCAGUUCUUAAAACACUUUCUCCAAGAGAUGUUGUAGGUUGCCCCAAGUAAACCAACUAGCCUAUAAGCUGUUGAUAAUUUGCAUUAGUGUGUGUUGCAAUUGUUAAACCGCAUUAUUACUAGGAAAAAGUGAUUGAAGUUGUUUCUUAUGUAUGUGGUUUAUUGUUUGUGCGGGAAAAUAAUACCAUAUUGGAAAAUGUUAAAUGGUGUCUUUGGAGGUACUAGUAAAGCUUAUUAAUAAAGUGAUUUUAUUUUGAAACUUGUGAAUUCAAUAUCUAAAAAAUGUAAAAAUUUAUAUUUUUUUAUAUGAUUUUUAUCCUUAAUUUCUUUUUUA